rnacentral:rRNA from 1 species
AGUGGCGAACGGGUGAGUAAUAUAUCGGAACGUACCUUAUCGAGGGGGAUAACGCAGCGAAAGCUGCGCUAAUACCGCAUACGCCCUGAGGGGGAAAGCGGGGGACCGUAAGGCCUCGCGCGAUUAGAGCGGCCGAUAUCUGAUUAGCUUGUUGGUGGGGUAAAAGCCCACCAAGGCGACGAUCAGUAGCUGGUCUGAGAGGACGAUCAGCCACACUGGGACUGAGACACGGCCCAGACUCCUACAGGAGGCAGCAGUGGGGAAUUUUGGACAAUGGGGGCAACCCUGAUCCAGCAAUGCCGCGUGAGUGAAGAAGGCCUUCGGGUUGUAAAGCUCUUUUGUCAGGGAAGAAACAGCAGCUCUAACACAGUCUGCGAAUGACGGUACCUGAAGAAUAAGCACCGGCUAACUACGUGCCAGCAGCCGCGGUAAUACGUAGGGUGCAAGCGUUAAUCGGAAUUACUGGGCGUAAAGCGUGCGCAGGCGGUUAUACAAGACAGGCGUGAAAUCCCCGGGCUUAACCUGGGAAUGGCGUCUGUGACUGUAUGACUAGAGUGUGUCAGAGGGGGGUAGAAUUCCACGUGUAGCAGUGAAAUGCGUAGAUAUGUGGAGGAAUACCAAUGGCGAAGGCAGCCCCCUGGGAUAACACUGACGCUCAUGCACGAAAGCGUGGGGAGCAAACAGGAUUAGAUACCCUGGU